rnacentral:lncRNA from 1 species
GAAUAUGUAGGGGUAUCAGAAAAUCGCAAUCAAAAUCUAUUGGCUGCUGAAAUGGUGGACAAGCGGUAGAGAAGUGUCAGCACAUGUCAUCACUGAUGAGACAAUGGCAAAGCUCAUGGGCAGCUAGGAAAGAGACGAAAUGUGAUUAAAUUUCAGGUGCCAAUGUCUCCACAUAACAUUCCCCCCUGCAUUCCUGUCUUAAAAUAAUAAUAAAAGGAAGCAAAUGAGAGAAGGAAGUGCGGUGGAAUUUUAUAGCUGCGACAAAAGUCAUAAUCUAUGAUUAAAAAUCCAAUCCGCCCAGUAGUUUCUACUUAGCAAAGUUAAUCGGGAUUGCGCCUUUGGCGAGCCCAAGUUGUUUGAGUGUCGAUAAUAAAAAUAAUGAUAAUUUUUAAAAAAAAAAAUAAAAAAUUAAUUUGGGAUACAUUUUUUUUGGGAAAAAUUAUGUAUAUAUCCAUUAUUACUAAAAUAUCAAAUAGUUUCUGUUAUUACUGGAAUGUCCGUUUUUUUCACUUCAUAACGAUUUUUUUUUUAAAAAAAAAUGACUUUUUUACCCUUUUUCGGUUUUUGAACAGUUGAAAUAGCUAGAUUUUCGGUUGUUCAAAGACCGAAAAUAAGCUAAUUUCAGUUAUUGAACAACCGAAAAUAACGGUGCUUGUUUAAACUUAUGGAAUACGGAGUACUAUUAUCGGUUGUUGAACAACCGAAAAAAAAAAAUGCAAAUUCUAAGCUUUUGUCAUUUUUUUUGUUGUUGAACAAACGAAAAUAUGACAUUUUCGGAUGUUGAACAACCGAAAACAUGACAUUUUCGGAUGUUGAGCAACCGAAAAUGUUCUAGCAAGCUUCUGGAAUACACAGUCAUAUUUUCGAUUGUUCAACAACCGAAAACUAUACAUUUUUUGAUGUUGAACAACAAAAAAUAGAACUGCAUAUUCCAGCAACCUUCUGGAAUAUACAAUCUUAUUUUCGGUCAUUCAACAACCGAAAACAAGGCAUUCUCGGUUGUUCAACAACCGAAAAUAAAACAAAAAAAGGUAAAAAAGUCCUUUUUAAAAAAAUUUCGUUAUGAAAUGAAAAACGGACAUUCCAAUAAUAACGGAAACUAUUUGGUGUUUUGAUAAUAACAGAAACUAUAAUAGAUAUAUACGUAAUUUUCCCUCUCUUUUUUUAAAAAGUUUAUAUAGAGUUGAAGCUCUAAAUAAUCAAAUUAGAGCCUGCUUCAAAAAUUUCACUAGAUGAGGUCGUUUUGAUGUCCAAAUAUCCUCAAAUUAAUCACCUCAACAUUAAGAUAGAUGCAUGGACACGAAAGAAAAAAAUGGAUUUCAAGUUUUGAAAAUAAUGCAUAUUUGUAAUGCAUUUUUGGACAGUCAAUUUUCAAGAUUUUCAUAUAUCUGCUCGAUCUACGCUAUUUUUGAAGCUUUAAAUUUUAUAAUUAAAUAUAAAAAUAUAUUAUAAGUCUAUCACAAGUAUUUCCAGUAGUGAAACCACAUUUCUCCACACUAUAGAAGGUGCACUUUACUUUGAUUGUUUAAAGCUUCGUCUCCAUACAAACCACACCUUUUUUUAUAUAUAUUUCCGUCAUUUUAAAAAAGAUUGGAAAGUGUUUGUGUCAUAAAUACUUAUUUUACAUACUAUUUUUGAAUUAUUUCAAAAAUACCCCCAGCAGCAACCUCAUUUUUAAAUCUAUGUUUUUACUACUUUCUUAAGGUCAUUUUGAAGUGUUUUGCUUGAUCCUCCUUUAAACAUGCAUUUUCUAUUUUUAAAAAAAAAAUUUAUCUUUUUUUUAUAAUCAUUCGACUUUUUUUUUAGCUGCUAAUCACGUAGAAUUACUUGGACUAGGCUCGGACCACUCGGUCAGAGUCGCACUUCUAACAAUGGUCAUAACCACUCCAAAGACACCCUCUGAAAAAAGCUCAUAAAGGCUUAAUUGUGGUGAGAAGUGCAUCCUUUCUCUGAAGCCUAGAGAAGCUCUAAAAAGGCUUCUGGACAAUUACGCUGAGAAGUUCAGACCCUCUCUAAAUUGUGGCCAACGGUUGAUAAAAAGGACUGGGGAUUGUCUACAAAGAUAUUUUUUCGAACUUUGUAACCCAUCCAAGCUAUCAAACUUCGUAUGGUUACAAGUAAUUAUGACCAUCUUGUAUCAAAGAUAAAUAGCCUCAUUGUAUACAAUCUUUUCAUCUUUUGUACAUGGAUAUUACAAUCAUACUUGUCCCUUAAAUUUUAAAAUGGGUGAUUAUAAAAAUGCUAUUUAAUAGAUACAAAGUUCAAAAAAAAUUUCCCGAUCUUUGUAACUCAAUCCAAACCAUCAAAUUUGACAUCUAAAGAGCGAGAAUGCAUGUGACCUCCACAUAAAAAAGAUAAAUGGUUUCUCUAUAUAAAAAAAAUCCCAAAACUUAAUACCUUUUAAGUGACCCUUAGCCUCAGCUCCACUAAGCGUGUGUUUCUCACACAAAUUGAAAGUGCAUCAAGAAACCCUAAAUCUCUCUCCGUCUAUCACAAGACCUCAGGGGCUAGAAAAUGUCCCUGAUUUAGCCAAAAAGAAGCUUAUCCGUAAGCAAUAUAGGACUAAAAAUCUCUCUUAAGCAUGUUUAAAUUUUGAAAAAAAGGCUAAGCAAACUGAAAAAUUCAAUUGUUUUGAGACACUUUUAGGUCUUGCGCUCGACUAGAGUUUGAAAAACAGAUUAGUGAAUUGGAUCACCAUCUAGAAAACUAGUCCAAAUCGGUGAAUAGGCAGUCCUGAGAGUCGAUCUAGCCAAGUGAAUCAGCCAAAUAAAAAAAAAAAGGACUAAAAUAAUAAAUUGAAAGGAACAAAAAAAAAAAUGGACCCGGAUUAGCUUGUUCCUUGACAUAAACGAUCGGUUUUAUUAGAUAACUGGCCGCUUGUAAGAACCGACCAGUUUCCAAUAUAUGAUGGGAACCGGACUAAUCUCACUGAUUCCCGAUCCAGAUUGGUGUUUCAUAAAACCCUGAUCUCAACCAUCCUGAUACAAAUAUGACCUGUGUAUCACGGUCAUUUAUCAAUCAUGUUGACCCGUUCCAAUGUGCGCUCUCUCUCUCAAGUAAUUCAGUUUAGCAAAUAGAGAAAAUGAAGAUGAAAGAUCAUGUCAAACAACCAACAGUACACUAACUCAAAAAAAUUAAAGGUAAUUUGGAUGAUGCAGGGUGUCUUAAUUACUCUUAUUAUACAUCGAUUAGAAAUCCUUCCAGUUUGAGUAAGAUGUCGCAAUGAAUAAAUGACAUCCAUCCAAAAUGCCACGGUUCUUUAGGGAGGAUGAAUUCCUUGUUAUGGUCUAGAAAAAGUAUUAAUGCUGCUUUUUUAAACACAGCACCAAAAUCAACAUGAAUCAGAGGAAAAAAAAUAGAUAGCUAAAAAAAAGAUCAAGUGAAAGGAGUAACAGAUUAAUAUAGAAACACUCAAACUGAAAAGCCUAUGAGAUUAAAAGUGAAAGGUGAAAACAAAGGCAUUCGAUCUUUGAAGUUCAGUGUUGUUUAUUCAGCAUCAGAUAAAACCCAAAACCUAGAAACCCCACAAAAGAUUCCAUGCUUCUAAAAACUGA